UCCUAGUCCUGUCACCGUGGCCAGGACGCUCCUUUUUCUGUAAAACGGGGAGUGCGAUGCCAUGCCGGCUGGGCUGCUGUGACCCUGAAGUCAACUGCUCUCGUGGCACCUGCAUCUCCCCUAGGGAAUCCGAGAGCUGAUGAGUGCAACUUAUUCUAAGCUUUAGGUUGUGUUUCCCUGCUCCUGUUCCUAGCUUAUGAGUUACCUGACCAUCCGGCCCCUUCGGCCCCCACACCACUGCACCCACGCCAGGCCUGGUCCUUACCCUCCCCCACUAGUGCUUCUGGGUCCACACCCUUCCUUGUAGUCAUGUGGCCUCAUGUCCUCUGGGCUCCUUGUCACUGGGAGCCCAAGGCCUUUGAAUUCAGCACAGCUCUCAGGCUAGGGCUCAGUGCAUCCCUGCUGCGGACAGUGUCAGCAAGGGGACCAGUGCCCGCAGAACCGCCCCAAGAAGCCCACCCGUGUCAUAGCCAUAACCCAGUCUGGACACCACCUUGUUCCCCUCCCUCCGCCCCAGCUGACCAAUGCACAGAGCUGGGCAGAUACUGUAACCUCACUGAAAAGACAUAGUAUUUAUGUGACUAAUCUGAGGCUCAGAGGUGUUAAGGGAAUUAGCCCCAAGUCACAAGCCACGAACAUGGGCGAGCCAAGACCAGCCAAGAACUUUUGACUCUGAGUCUACUGUUCUUUCCAGUAGAACACACAUCUUCUCUUCCUUUGGCCUCUCCCUAAACUUAUAUCCCUUCACACUUGCUCCAUCUAACACAGGGCACUACACAAAACUGCAAAGGAACUAUACAGUAGGCAGAGUUAGGGAGUUAGAAUCCAAGGGUUACCAUCCUGUUAUUUGUUAACUGUGUGACUUUAGACUAGUUACUCAACCUCUCGGAGCAUUAAUUUAUCUAUCCAUAAAAUGCAAAGAAUGUCACCCAGCUCACUGGAUGCAAUGAAGCGACCAAGUACGAAGUACCUGCCUGGCAAGAAUGUCAGCUCCAGGAGGGCAGGGAUUUCAGUCUCUCCUAUUUACUGCGGUAUCAGCAAUGCCUAAAACAGUGCUUGGUAUAUGGUGAAGACUCAACGUACCUGCCGAGCAGAUCAAAGUGGGAGUGAGCAUGGUUGGGAUGCCACCUUCUCAACAGCCUGCAGAUGGGAGGAUCCAGCUCCCAGCUCCCAGGAUGCUGUCUGCUGCCCAUCACCCAACGCACGUCCAGCCAGACAUGAAGUCUAUUCCAGGAACAAGCUUCUGCCCCGAAUCCCUGCAGUCUUUCCUGUUCUGCUGAGCAGGACUGGACAUGUGAGGAGAAGGCUGCUGGCUGCGCUGCUUCAAGCUCUUCAGGAGAACUCCCCCCUCCCUCAAGAUGGUUCCGGGGCUGGGAAGUCUUUCCUGAAGCCCCCAGGCUCUGUCUUGUCCUCUCCUUUGCCUGGCUCAGCACACUAAUAACAGAAGCCAAUGUUUAAGUGCUUGCUAUGAGCCAAGCAUUUAAUGUCCAUUACGUCCCGUAAUCCUUAUAACGAUCCUAGGAGAAGAUACAAGAAUCCCCACUGGCAGGUGCUCCUAGGCUGGCUAAGAUCACGUGAGUGGAGGAGCUGGAUCUGAACUCAGGUCUGACACCAGGGGCUCUACAUUACAUCUUUGCUCCCCAAUCACACUGGAUGUUACUGAGGGUGGGGACUGAGUCUCACUCUUCCUCGUUUUCCCGGGGCUUACCAUUAGACUUAAGACAGUAUCGAUAAGUGUUUUGUAAAUGCACGAAUGAGCAAGGGGAUGAAGAGAGGAAUAAGGAAGAGUGACCUUGUCACUUCCCCUCAAAGCCUCCCAGAGCCCCGUUGGCCCUCCAGGAUCACAAACCUUGCCCAUCCCCUCAUGGAGAUCUGCAGGAUCCAAUCCCAACCUGUAAGGUUCGACCUGGGCAGAAAGCCGGGAGAAGCACCCUUGGGUCCACUAAAAUCCAGUCUGUUUCAUAGAUUAAGGCCCAGAAAGGGAGAGGGAUUUGUCCAAGAUCACACAGCAAGGUGAUGUGAUGGCCGAUCCACACUGCAAGACUCCCACUGGUGAGGGGUGAGGAGGGGUGAAAGGAUGGGGGUGUACAAAAUGGGGCUGCUCAU